GGAGGUUACUGCUAUCGGUGUUCGCCUAACCCAUGCGAGUCAUAUGUUCUUCGUGAACAUGGCGUACUGCUCAGUAACACGUGAAUAACCUGCCCUUGGGACCGGCAUAACCCCGGGAAACUGGGGAUAAUUCCGGAUACCGCAUAUAUGCUGGAAUGCUUUAUGCGUGAAAUGGAUUCUUCUGCCCAAGGAUGGAUCUGCGGCCUAUCAGGUAGUAGUGGGUGUAAUGUACCUACUACCCUACAACGGGUACGGGUUGUGAAAGCAAGAGCCCGGAAAUGGAUUCUGAAACAUGAAUCCAGGCCCUACGGGGCGCACCAGGCGCAAAAACUUUACAAUGCGGGAAACCGUGAUAAGGGGACACCGAGUGCCAGCAACAUUUGUUGGCUGUCCAGGUGUGUAAACUACACCUGUUAGCAAGGGCCGGGCAAAACCGGUGCCAGCAC
rnacentral:rRNA from 1 species